GACUUAAUGGUUAAAGAUUACUAUUAUUGUAAGUCACUGUUGUAUGUCAAUAUUUAGUGCUCAUCAGCUUUUUAAGAAAGUCACAUUAUAUGCGGCUGUUUAAAAUAUCAGUUUUAAUUAUUUAGAAUGACAGUUAGAAUGUUUAUGUUUUUGAGCAUAUAAUCCUAACAUAUGUAAUAUCAGGGAAAAAGUAUUUUCUGCAGGAAUAAGGGAAAAUGUUAUGUAUGUCAAAUAUUUGUCUCUAUUUGGAUUGAAUUGCAUUUCCCCCCUUCUUUCCUAAAAGAAAAUUAGAUAUUUUUAUUAGUACAUUGACACAAAAGGGGAACAGACAGAACAAAGUAUGAGAUGAGGGACCUGGUGCUAGCAAGCUAGUUUGAAGUUUAAAUUUGCAUUUAUAAUCCAUCCAUAUACCAUUUAUGUGGUGACGCGCUUGUCUUAUUUUGGAGGUGAAAUGAAUCAUGGGUAUCUUUUAAUUAAGGAAAUUCACCCAGUGCAUAGUGUGCACACCUGCCAUCCUAGCACUGGGGAGGUAGGAGCAGGAGAAUCCGGAGUGUAUGAUAAUCCUCAACAGCAUAGUGAGGUGGAGACCAGCUUGGCUUGAUGAGACCCUGUGUCAAGAAAACAAGCCCAUUAUUGAUGCUGUACUUCUAAAGGUGGAUGCUCUAAUCUACUAUAUCAAUUUAUGAAGUGAGGAAACAUGGGUAGCCUUAAAUUGAGGCUGCUCACACCAGGGAGUGUGAAUGCAGUUGAUGAUGAUGUGGGAUUUUGAAGGGAGAUGUCAUUUGGAGCAUGGGUCUUUUUCUUUUCAGUUUUGCCCUGUGAAUGUUAGAGAAAUAAUACUGGCUUUAGCUUCUCAUCCAUAGAAUUUUAACCUCUAUUUCUAGCUUAUUUUGUAUUUUUCUUCCUAUGCUGAAGUAAUUUUGCUACACUGAGCUGAGAACCAGUAGUUAGGCCACAAAGCCCCUAAACAGCUGUUUUGUUUCCUUCUCGUUAUCUGGUUAGAACCUAAAGACCAUCAUCUGUACCCCUACCCCAAAUGUUAGCGUCCUUGGUAUAAAAGUCUUCAAACUACCUCAGAGCCUCCUUUUUAUAUAAAGAGUACCAGCAAUCUAUGAAGAGUUAGUUACUUCCUUAUAAAUGUUUUAUAAAAUAUAUUUUGAAGAAUAAAUCACUUGAAAUCAUACUGUUUUUGGAAAUCCAAACUGUUUAAAG
rnacentral:lncRNA from 1 species